AUUGAACGCUGGCGGCAUGCCUUACACAUGCAAGUCGAACGGCAGCACGGGAGCAAUCCUGGUGGCGAGUGGCGAACGGGUGAGUAAAGUAUCGGAACGUGCCCAGUCGUGGGGGAUGACGUAGCGAAAGUUACGCUAAUACCGCAUACGAUCCAUGGAUGAAAGCGGGGGAUCGCAAGACCUCGCGCGAUUGGAGCGGCCGAUAUCAGAUUAGGUAGUUGGUGGGGUAAAGGCCCAACAAGCCGACGAUCUGUAGCGGGUCUGAGAGGACGACCAGCCACACUGGGACGGAGACACGGCCCAGACUCCUACGGGAGGCAGCAGUGGGGAAUUUUGGACAAUGGGCGAAAGCCUGAUCCAGCCAUGCCGCGUGCAGGAUGAAGGCCUUCGGGUUGUAAACUGCUUUUGUACGGAACGAAAAGGACUGCCCUAAUACGGUGGUCCCAUGACGGUACCGUAAGAAUAAGCACCGGCUAACUACGUGCCAGCCGCCGCGGUAA
rnacentral:rRNA from 1 species